rnacentral:rRNA from 1 species
GAUGAACGCUGGCGGCGUGCCUAAUACAUGCAAGUCGAGCGAAUGGAUUAAGAGCUUGCUCUUAUGAAGUUAGCGGCGGACGGGUGAGUAACACGUGGGUAACCUGCCCAUAAGACUGGGAUAACUCCGGGAAACCGGGGCUAAUACCGGAUAACAUUUUGAACCGCAUGGUUCGAAAUUGAAAGGCGGCUUCGGCUGUCACCUAUGGAUGGACCAGCGUCGCAUUAGCUAGUUGGUGAGGUAACGGCUCACCAAGGCAACGAUGCGUAGCCGACCUGAGAGGGUGAUCGGCCACACUGGGACUGAGACACGGCCCAGACUCCUACGGGAGGCAGCAGUAGGGAAUCUUCCGCAAUGGACGAAAGUCUGACGGAGCAACGCCGCGUGAGUGAUGAAGGCUUUCGGGUCGUAAAACUCUGUUGUUAGGGAAGAACAAGUGCUAGUUGAAUAAGCUGACACCUUGACGGUACCUAACCAGAAAGCCACGGCUAACUACGUGCCAGCCGCCGCCGUAAUAC